rnacentral:rRNA from 1 species
AAGACCCCGUGAACCUUUACUGUAGCUUUGCAUUGGACUUUGAAGUCACUUGUGUAGGAUAGGUGGGAGGCUUAGAAGCAGAGACGCCAGUCUCUGCGGAGCCGUCCUUGAAAUACCACCCUGGUGUCUUUGAGGUUCUAACCCAGACCCGUCAUCCGGGUCGGGGACCGUGCAUGGUAGGCAGUUUGACUGGGGCGGUCUCCUCCCAAAGCGUAACGGAGGAGUUCGAAGGUUACCUAGGUCCGGU